AUACUGAUUAUUGAGUACUCAGGGAAAUCUCUACCCCUUCAGCUCGCCCCAGGGACCAACUUUCACAAGGGAGAGGCCAGCGCUGGCCACUUCUAGUCUCUGUAAGGAGCUCCCUUUCUGUUUUUCUUCCGGCAAACUGAUUCUGUUUGGCUUCCCUGAGCCUGCUCGCCCAGUCCUUAGCGGAGUCGAUGUGGACAGGAAGCAGGUGUCCGGCGCCAUCCCAGGGCAGGCCUGCGUGGGAGCCGAUGGUCCCCGCAGCGCAACCCGAGUGACUCCGGCGAGACCCGCCUCCCCCUGCACCUUAGAAACCGCACCACCCGUCAGCUGGCUUCAAAACAAAGAGUCCAUUCAGCGGCUUCAGAUGCUGGCUCGUCGCCAUGGCAACCAUCCUCCGCCUCCUCCCCUACCCUCCCGACUCCCCGCAGCUGCGUGGGUGGAGGCGCCGCUUUGUCCGCGGGGGCCGGCUUUAUUUCCCGCCUUUGCGGUGGACUAGAAAGGAGUCACCCCCGGGAAUUCACUGUGGAAGCCGCAAGUUUCUUUUUUAGCCAGGAUGGUUGGGUCCAGAGAGCCUGUCCCCGCAGGCUCAGCAGCGCCACCUUCCGUGGCCAAGAGCGCACUGCCCAGUCCGCCGCUGCGCAAAAGCUCCGUGGGACUCCCUAUUGUCGCUUUUCUAGUGGCGUUCACAUUUGAACAGCUAGAGCUUUCUUGGCUGAAAAGACAGAAUGGUUAUGUAAACAAUCAAGAUGAUUUGUUUUGUGUUUCAGAUGGUUAUUUUCAAUGAUUAUGCACUUUCAAAGAACUUGUAUUUUUGAUGAAAUUCUCAAUAUUUACUUUGUCUAUUCUAUGAAGGAACUUUUU
rnacentral:lncRNA from 1 species